GAUGAACGCUAGCGGCAGGCUUAACACAUGCAAGUCGAGGGGCAGCACGUCUUCGGAUGGUGGCGACCGGCGCACGGGUGCGUAACGCGUAUACAAUCUACCUUUUACAGGGGCAUAGCCCGGGGAAACCCGGAUUAAUAUCCCAUGGUACCAUGAUNUGGCAUCAUAUUAUGGUUAAAGCUUCGGCGGUGAAAGAUGAGUAUGCGUUCUAUUAGCUAGAUGGUAAGGUAACGGCUUACCAUGGCUUUGAUAGAUAGGGGUCCUGAGAGGGAGAUCCCCCACACUGGUACUGAGACACGGACCAGACUCCUACGGGAGGCAGCAGUGAGGAAUAUUGGACAAUGGGCGAGAGCCUGAUCCAGCCAUGCCGCGUGCAGGAAGACGGCCCUAUGGGUUGUAAACUGCUUUUAUACGGGAAGAAACACCCCUUCGUGAAGAGACUUGACGGUACCGUAUGAAUAAGGAUCGGCUAACUCCGUGCCAGCAGCCGCGGU
rnacentral:rRNA from 1 species